GCGCACAUCAUUCUUCACAAUAAAGGACACGCCAGAAUUGUGCAGUCGAGACCACAACUUUUGUGUACGUUUCAAAUGUAUUACUACUGGCUCCGGUAUUUCCACGACACUCUCCUUCCACACUGAGUCCAAACCUACAGUCACUGGGUCCUGAUUGUGACAGUGGAGCCCAUUUUGAAUUGCAGGAUCCAGAGAUGGCAUCAGUGAAGCUGGAAGACUGCAGUCAAACACUGGAACUGAAUGCCAACAUUAAAGAUUAAGAAGUGGAGGAGAAGAUUGGGAAAUCUGUUUCUCAUGGACGACUAGAAUUAAGUCUGAGGCCACAACAUCAACAGUAACGACAAACCCAGCCUGCCUCUCUCCUUCCACACUAAACCUACAGUCACUGGGUCCUGAUUGCAGUUUGCACUGCAGGAUCCAGAGAUGGCAUCAGUGAAGGUGAAAGACUACAGUCAAACACUGGAGCUGAAUGUCAACAUUAAAAAUGAAGAAGAGGAGGAGAAGAUUGGGAAAUCUGUUAAUCAUGGAGACCAUGUUGAGACAUUCUCUACAUCCAGAGAGCAUCAACAGGAAGAUCACAUAGCAAAGAGGUCUCACCACUGCACACAUUGUGAGGAGAUUUUCCCAUUUCUAUCAAAGCUAAAAAUACACCUAAAAAUACACACAGGAGAAAAGCUUUACUCUUGCUCUGAAUGUGGAAAAUGCUUCAAAACAUCGACAUCACUAAAACUUCAUCAGA